AACGAACGCUGGCGGCAUGCCUAACACAUGCAAGUCGAACGAGACCUUCGGGUCUAGUGGCGCACGGGUGCGUAACGCGUGGGAACCUGCCCUUAGGUUCGGAAUAACUCCCCGAAAGGGGUGCUAAUACCGGAUAAUGUCUUCGGACCAAAGAUUUAUCGCCUUUGGAUGGGCCCGCGUUGGAUUAGCUAGUUGGUAGGGUAAAAGCCUACCAAGGCGACGAUCCAUAGCUGGUCUGAGAGGAUGAUCAGCCACACUGGGACUGAGACACGGCCCAGACUCCUACGGGAAGCAGCAGUGGGGAAUAUUGGGCAAUGGGCGAAAGCCUGAUCCAGCAAUGCCGCGUGAGUGAUGAAGGCCUUGGGGUUGUAAAGCUCUUUUACCCGGGAUGAUAAUGACAGUACCGGGAGAAUAAGCUCCGGCUAACUCCGUG
rnacentral:rRNA from 1 species